GUUGAAAUUCCACUCCAGAACUACACUGAAAACAGACUGAACUAUGAGUUGGAUUCAAACCACAGCUCUAAUGCAGUCCUCCCCUGGAUAAUCGCUGGUGUGUCUUUAAGUCUGAACCUGAUCCUCCUCACCAGCCUGAUCAUCUGCAUCAAACGCUGCAGGGGGAAAAGUCAACAGAGG